CGAGCGGGCCGGAUGGUCGCGUCCCUUUUGGGAUGAGGAAAGUCCGAGCUCCACAGGGCAAGAUGCUGGGUAACACCCAGGCGGGGAGACCCGAUGGAAAGUGCCACAGAGAAUAGACCGCCAACGAGCGCGAUUUUUGUGCAACGGGCAAGGGUGAAACGGUGGGGUAAGAGCCCACCGCGCGACUCGGCGACGAGCGCGGCACGGUAAACCCCAUUUGGAGCAAGGCCGAAUAGGAGCAAAGAGAUAGCCCGUCUCGCUAUUAUGCUCGGGUAGGCCGCAAGAGGUGUCGGGUAACCGGCGUCCCAGAUAAAUGACCAUCCGUUUGGGAGACCAGACGACAGAACUCGGCUUAUAGGCCCGCUUGUUUC
rnacentral:RNase_P_RNA from 1 species